rnacentral:lncRNA from 1 species
CUCCUGCCAGUCUAGCUGGGAAGACAGCCUCAUGCCCUGCCAUUGACUGGCCAAUGGCCACAGGAUAAGAAAGCCAUGCAGAGUCGACAGUGGCACUCAAGUGGGUGUGCACACAACACCACAUUGGCAUCACUGCACGGAGAUGGAAUGGAAAGGGGCUCCCGGCGGCUGGCACACGGCUCCUGAGCACAAGCAGUGAGGACGUCGCAGGAGGAAUCUGAGGGCUGCCCCUGCCCCGUGCCACCCCCCCCCACACACACACAAACACACACACACACACAUUGAGGACAUCACAGGGGAAUCUGAGGGCUGCCCCCGCCCCCUGCACUCACCCACAUACACACACACAUACAGACGGGGCUUCCACUGCAGCACCCAGCCACACUAGAUAGAGAGGGCUGGAGACAGUGGCUGCUGUAUUCUUGACUUCACAAGCAUCACAAAGGAAAUGCCUCCAUCAGCAGCGGUCCUAUCCUGAAAUGCGACGGGGCCAUAAUGGCAGCUGCUGGAGACGCCUCCGUGGAGCAGAAUCCAGAAGUCGGCCCUGUACUGCUUAGGAGACCACAGACGCAGUGGAAGCUUCAGGAUCAGAAAUCAGGCUCAAGAUUUGAUUGUCAUUGGUGAUCCCUUCAGGGGAAACCAUUUUAUUGUUGGAAUUGACUUUUAUGGUCAUUUUUAUUAAACAUCACAUCUAUGGGCAGGCUUCUCCCCCUACUUGGGGUGGCAGAUCUGGGAUGGGGGAGAGGCUACAGGAAGAGAGAGAAAAAGGAAGAAAGACGGUUAUACACCUAGCACCUACUGUGUGUCUUAAAUACAUUCUCAGGUUUGGAAAAGGUGGAAUUUUGUGACAAAAGUCAGAAUCAAAUCAAAUCAAGCCAAUAGAUCAAGCCCCUUCUCAUAAUAAAGACAGAUAUGGA